rnacentral:misc_RNA from 1 species
AAGAUGAAGGCCAUGAACCGCUUCUUCGAAGAAGGCGACAAGGUCAAGGUGACCCUGCGUUUCCGCGGUCGCGAAAUGGCGCAUAUGGAACUCGGCAUGAAGCUGCUCAUGCAGGUCAAGGAAGACACUGUCGAGAUCGCCAAGGUCGAAGCCGAGCCGAAGCUCGAAGGCCGCCAGAUGAUGAUGGUUCUCGCUCCUAAGUGAGCGCGACUGCCCGUCGAUCUGAAAAGAAGCCGUCCAUUGGGCGGCUUUUUUGUUGCCUGCUGGCUGGCACAAUCGGCGCAUUUCGGAUGUUAUGCAUGUGUGAGUGACCA